rnacentral:lncRNA from 1 species
UUUUUCUCUAUUAAUAACUGUUAACUCAUCAUUUACAUAUUAAUUAUUAAUUAACAAUAUACAUCAUUCUAAAUAAAUAGCUGAUGGAUAGGGAUGAAAUACUAUUAUUGUUUUCUUUAUGUAAUGAGCUCUAUUAUUGUUCGCUUUUGGCUUCGAUUCAAUUUUCAUUUAUCAAUUAUUUAAAGGAAAGUUUGUGAUGUACAUUGAGACAUCCAAUUUGCACGAGGGCCUCUGUUUUGUUAUCUUGUGUUUUUUAUCUCUUGGCAGAAAUUCAUUACAUUUUUUCUUUUAUUUUCUUCUUCUUCAAUGACAUUAUAGCUUCUCCUUUUAAUAAUUGCCACUCCUACUUCAAUGACAACAUUAGACAAUAAUAAUCAUAUUUUCAUUCUAGAAUGAUAUGCAUCAAAGGAAGAAAAGAUCCUUCUUAUUAUUGACAAAUCAUGUACUUUGAAUUAUUAUUGUUCUGUUUAUCUGAGUCAUGUGCUUAUGAAUUAUUAUUGGCAACUGAAUCUAGACAAUUAUUCAUUCUAAUAAUUUAAAGUCUUAUACUAUAAUAGCACUUAAUUAUUUUUU